rnacentral:rRNA from 1 species
UACGGAGGAUGCAAGCGUUAUCCGGAAUGAUUGGGCGUAAAGCGUCCGCAGGUGGCAAUGUAAGUCUGCUGUCAAAGCGUCUGGCUCAACCAGAUAAAGGCAGUGGAAACUACAUAGCUAGAGUAAGGUAGGGGUAGAGGGAAUUCCUGGUGUAGCAGUGAAAUGCGUAGAGAUCAGGAAGAACACCGGUGGCGAAAGCGCUCUGCUGGACCUUAACUGACACUGAGGGACGAAAGCUAGGGGAGCGAAUGGG